AGUGAACGCUGGCGGCGUGCCUAAUACAUGCAAGUCGAACGAAGUGGCGCACGGGUGUGUAAUAUAUAUUUAAUCUGCCCUACACAGAGGAACAACAGUUUGAAACGACUGCUAAUACCUCCUAGUUUAGGAUGAGACUAUAUCGUAUCAGCUAGUUGGUAAGGUAAUGGCUUACCAAGGCUAUGACGCUUAACUGGUCUGAGAGGAUGAUCAGUGACAUUGGAACUGGGACACGGUCCAAAAGGAGACGGGAGGCAGGAGUGGUGAAUAAUGCACAAUGGGCGAAAGCAGGAUGGAGCGACGCCGCGUGGGGGAGGAAGGCUUGCGGGUUGUAAACCUCGGGCGCUAUCGAACUUUUGUUGGUGGGGUGAGGGUAGGUGGAGAAGAAGCGCCGGCUAACUACGUGCCAGCCGCCGCGGUAAUAC
rnacentral:rRNA from 1 species